rnacentral:tRNA from 1 species
GUGCCCGUAGCUCAGUGGCAGGUGCGGGCUACAUAUAAACGCCAGGUCGGAGGUUCGAAUCCUCCCGGGCCCA